rnacentral:misc_RNA from 1 species
AAAUGCGCGGAACGGGACGUCGACAGCUAGAUGAGGUCAGUGACGGAGGUUGUUCGAUUGUCGCGCUAUUUCUGAAUGAGAUACAUUCAAGAACAAAUUGGGGAGAUAUUCGAGGAAACGAUGUGAAUAACAUGAUACAUGUACUUGUACAGACUUUGAGGCCGACACUCAAAUGUACUUCAGAUGUCGUUUUGGACUUUAUGUGGCUUGUGAAUGUGUAGUGCCAAGAUGCAACAACUUUCAAGGGUGAAAUCUUCACUAAGCCUGCAGCCCCAAUCGUGCUUGAAAAGUUUCACUGAUUGGGUAGGGGCUGUGGUUGCCAUGACUGCCGCCAUCAGUGGGAACCAACGCCACAACAAUAUGCAUCCAUGCACCAUGAAAGGCACAGCAGUCUGCAAAACGUACAAUGCUUUUGUCUGUAGUAAAAAAUCUCUCCUGUUGGGAUGGCGAAGAUACUCUGCGAGACUGAAAUACACAAAAGCAAAGAACUUCUCAAAGUUGGUCCACUCCAAAACAGUACUGCCCAUUGCUCCUGGUAGGACUUCAACGGUUUUGUCAGGUCGUGCGAUACGUGUAGGCAAGUCGUCAUCCAUGCUGCACGACUACUGCGCUGGGAGCAUCCUCAGUCCAUCAAAUACCCAAAGACUUGCAAGCCCCAAGCCAUGGACAUCUCCACCGAGACAGGGCUGCAUCCCCGACAGAACACUCAGCACUUCUAGCACGUCGGCACCAACGCGCACGACGUUCAACUCGGUGGAGGAGGUACAGGUGCCCACAUUGACCGAUAUGAAGCGGCACCUGAAGAAUGCGGAAAUUGAUUUCCAGACGGGCUAUACCUGCUUGAUGGCGGCCUGCCCGUUCUGCCGUGCCGCAAGUGCAGAUUCACAUCGCAGAGAUGCUCAAACAAUGUACAUCAACAUGACAACUGGCCACUGUGUCUGCCAGUGCACCCGGGUCAGUGGCAGUUGGCAGAGCCUCCAGGACAGCAUGGCCGUGGCCCAGCAACGAGGCUGCCCGGACCCAUCCUCCUUCCCGAAUCCCACUGCCACUGCUGAUGAGGGGGACGUGAGGGGUCACAGGUUGGGCCUGGCCAGGGUCCAGGAGGUGUGGGAAGGAGCCAUGGAGCUGAGCUUGUGCAAGGGAGCCACAAUUGACCGGCUGCGGGCCACCAUGGGCAUAGAGCAAAUCCCAAGGGACACUCUGGAGCAAUUCAAUAUAAAGUAUUGCAAGAAACAGCGGGCAUUCGUUCUGCCCUUAUACGGUCACAACAAACAGCUGCAAGGGGUCAAAGUGCUAGAGGUCAAGAAGGUCAAGGAGGGAUUUGAAGUCGCCGAGAUGCUGUACCCAAGACGUGACCAGAGCGGCUUGUUUGGUUACCACCUCAUUGGCCCACGGGAUGGAGAGAUGGUCCUGGUAGCCGGUGUCUUAGAUGCUCUAGCUGUCCAUCAGAUGACUGGAGGGACAGUACUCGCUCUUCCUAAUGGCAGUGCGUCCUUGCAGCAAGAGCUUCUCCCACUGUUGGAGCAGUUCCACAAGAUCACCCUCUGGUUUGGCAACGACAUGAGGUCUUGGGAGGCCGCUAAGCAGUUUGCUCGCAAGCUGAACACAAAACGCUGCUACUUCAUCAGGCCUCUGGAUUGCCACCCGCCAGCCCUGGUGGCCCUACAACAGGGAUUGAGUCUGGGGAGCAUCCUCAAGCAGGCCAACCCCGUCAGUCACAAGUCCAUUGUGUCCUUCCGGUCGCUGCGGGAGGAGGUGCUCGGGGAGUUGUCUCAUUCAGAGCAAGUGGCCGGGGUGAAGUGGAAGCGAUUUCCUUUGAUGAACAAGUUGCUGAAGGGUCAUCGGCGUGGAGAACUGUCGGUGUUUACGGGGCCCACAGGGUCAGGGAAAACCACCUUCAUGGCUGAGUACUCCCUAGAUCUCUGCACACAAGGGGUCAACACACUUUGGGGAAGUUUUGAAAUCCAGAAUGUUCGUCUAGCCAAGGUCAUGUUGACACAGUUUGCACAAGUCAACUUAGAGAAGAACCUGGACAAGUUUGACAAGUGGGCAGACAAAUUUGAGAUGUUGCCUCUCUACUUCAUGACAUUCCAUGGCCAGCAGACACUAAAGGCCGUUAUUGAGGCUAUGUCCCACGCUGUGUAUGUGCACGACAUUGAGCAUGUCAUAGUUGAUAAUUUGCAGUUCAUGGUGGGCUAUUCCGACAAGCAGUUUAUGUUGGAGCGCUUCGCCAUGUACGACCACAUCAUUGCCGCCUUCCGCAAGUUUGCCACUAACAACAACUGUCACGUGACUGUCGUCAUCCAUCCAAGAAAGGAGAACGCCUCAGAGGAGCUGCAGACUGCCUCCAUCUUUGGCAGCGCCAAGGCCUCCCAAGAAGCCGACAAUGUCUUUAUCCUCCAGGACCGUAGGCUGACCGCGCUCAGAGGCCGCAAGUACAUCCAGGGUUCCUGAAACUUCUGAGAAACUCUUAGAACUCACCUCUGAAUACUUCUCAAGCAGUUGCAAGUACUUGUGAAGCACUCAUCUACAACUGUGUUAUCUCCAGCCUGCCAAUCUCCUGGCCAAACCCAGCGUCGGGCUUGAUGUGCACCAUAUUCUGGGUCGUGUCGGGGCCAGUCCCAGGCUGGUAGAGGAAUAAACAGUUUAGUGUUGGCACGGCAAGUGGAUAGUUUCACAGGAAUCUGCAUUAAGCAGAUAUCUGGCCCUCAGCUUAGAUUAUCCCGUCAGCAAAGCGGGGAGUCUGUUUUUGAAGACAUGUGACUCAAUGAAUCAUGCCCAGAGUCACUGCAGGCAGAUGUGCAUACCUGCCCAUCUCCACAUUUUUUUGAGCACGCACAUAAAGUCUGAGCAAUCUGUGAAGGCAGGUUGUGUGUUGAUCUUGAAUCUGACUGCUGUACUUGGCCCGUUGUAGCACAUAUUAUCCAGUGGCAGUGCCCUUGAGUGUUGCCGUUCGAAGUUGAGAAACACAGUGUUGUAUAAGUAUUGUUGAAAUGACUUGUUAGAAUCUGGAUUUUAGGUGUUUAUCAUAUGGUGAAAGUUGGCCCAUGUAUCUUGGCAUUUCUGUGAGACUCGAAAUUUCUGCCAAUAUCUUACAAGCUGUUCAGAGGGUGAAAAGAAAUUACUGCCCGUCAUAGUAGCAGUCAACAAUUAUGUCUGUCAGAAUUGUUGACUGCUACUAUGACGGGCAGUAAUUUCUUCGUGUGUGCUCAUUGGGCAUGAAUUACAUCAUUGCCGCGUAACGUUUGAUAAGUGCUCAGUUUUUGUUUCGGACAUGAUAAGAUAGAGUAAAGAUCUGGCAGUACAGUUCACAUCUGAUUAGCUGACUGCAAUCGGCCUUUCUUGGUUUUGGUGUACAAGAUACUAAAGUUUCUAAAGUGUGGAAGUAUAAAAUGUCUUUAACCCUAACUACCUAGGAUAUGUGCGAAAUUAUAUUAAAAUUGGAGGGUUCAGGACUGAUAGGGUUAAAAAGGAAAAAGAAGACAUCUGGGUCAUUCAUUGAGGAGGUCAGACUGUAAGUUAUAACAAUUCUAUUAAAGUUUGUUUUCAUCUGAGAUGACUACUCUCUCCGGUUUUUCCUCUGUCAUCUUUUUUUUUCAUUUUCAAAUGGUCACUGAGAAAUAAAUGUUGACUUAAUUUUGUGGAGACUUAUUCUGAGGUGUAGUCCUUCAAAGAAGAACUGAUGAGUUUAGAACAUGUUAGAAAUUUUUCAAUUCUUUGUCGUCUUCACAGA